GGGAGAAGGGGGUGGGAGAGAUUUCUCAUGGAGAGAAAUCAAGGAGGCACAUCCAAGAGCAAAGAAAUUAGGGUUGCAUGUGGAUAGACUGCAGAUUUUUGUGCUGGGAGUCCUUGUUGAAUAGGAAGUUUUUCUUCACUUGGAUCUCGAUUUUUGCUGGGAUUAAAAUAGUAAGGAGGGCAUGAAAAGAAGACCUUACUGUCUUAAUAGUUCACCUAGAUGAGAUUUGAAAAGGUGGG
rnacentral:lncRNA from 1 species